GGGGAAUAUUGGACAAUGGGCGCAAGCCUGAUCCAGCCAUGCCGCGUGAGUGAUGAAGGCCUUAGGGUUGUAAAGCUCUUUCACCGGAGAAGAUAAUGACGGUAUCCGGAGAAGAAGCCCCGGCUAACUUCGUGCCAGCAGCCGCGGUAAUACGAAGGGGGCUAGCGUUGUUCGGAAUUACUGGGCGUAAAGCGCACGUAGGCGGAUAUUUAAGUCAGGGGUGAAAUCCCAGAGCUCAACUCUGGAACUGCCUUUGAUACUGGGUAUCUCGAGUAUGGAAGAGGUAAGUGGAAUUCCGAGUGUAGAGGUGAAAUUCGUAGAUAUUCGGAGGAACACCAGUGGCGAAGGCGGCUUACUGGUCCAUUACUGACGCUGAGGUGCGAAAGCGUGGGGAGCAAACAG
rnacentral:rRNA from 1 species